CUGUUAGAAAACUGUGGUCAGUUUGUAAAUGACUUGGGAAACACGAACAAAACCAUUGAAGACUUGGUUUUACCAUAUCAAUCAUAACUUUUAAGACGUAAGGGACUAUGCAUUCUUUAAAAAAUACUAUUCGUACACAUAAAACAUACCUACUAAUCAUUCAUCCAUUAAUUACACAAAUAAUUUAAAAUCAUCUUUAAUACAUAACUAUUUUGUAGAAACUUAGCACUUAUUAUAUGUAACGUGUUCAUUUUCAGAUUUAAUUACCUAACUUCUAAGUUUCACAAGUAAAAAACUAAGAUACAGAGUAAUUCACUCAGAGAAGUAUCACUUGAGUUUUAAAUAGAAUCAAGGACUUCAUAACUUUAGUCUCUGCAUUACGUAACAGAAAUGAUUCUUAAAUUGCUUACUCCUUGGGGAUAGAAAACAUUGUUUUACCUUUAAAGAAUUUUCUUCAACUGUUGAAGGAAUGGUUUUCUUCUUAUCUCUCAAAAAUUCAUAGAGAUGAGCAGCUUUUCAUUAAGAGAAAGUCUUGGGGGUGGAACACUGAUCUACCUGUUAUAGCAUAGUUCCUAGUAGUUCUUUGAAGCUCUGAGCAGGGGUCUCAGUACUUCACAUCUUAUCCUCAUCCAUUCACAAUCAUAAGAAAUUCUGACAUAGUUGAAGAUUUUAAAGAAAUAAUUUAAUAUUUUCAUACUUUUGGCAGAGAUAAUGAUAAAGUAAUUACUGUAGAGAGAAACAAUGCCAGCAUUUCAUUGAAAAUCCAGUAACAAAUUGCAAAUGGAGCCUAAUAAACAUCAUUUAUUUCCUUCCAGUUUAAAAGUCCUAUAAGUUCCAAAAGCCAAUUGUCUUUUAAUCCUUAUUUCAAAAACAUAUAUUUUGUAAUUCUUAGUACCAAUCCCUACAUUGGUGAAUAACAUGAUUUUAGAUUUGAGCCCAUUUCCUACCUCAGGCUUAACAUUGAAAGUCACAUUUUUUUAAUAGAAUAAUUCAUUUUAGAGUAGUAGGCAGUCAAGCAAUCAUGUUAGCUACUGCUAUUUAUUAAUAAUAAAUGUAAAAUACCAAGAGAAAAUACACAUUCUUAAGUUAAUCAGACAAUGUGGCUUCAGGAAUUACAACACAAAAUCUUUCAGCUGUUUCUUGAAAACACUGGAGCAUCAAGUUCAAUAUUGAUUGAAAAAUCUGUAAGCACAGUCAUGGAAUACACAAUGAAUCUCUUUGUAGAGUCUACACAGUGAAUGCAUUUUAUGUCAAUGUAUGUACACGUAUAGCACAAGGAAUCUGUAUCAAGGAAAAUGGGACUUGUGGUAAGGACUUGCUCAAGUGAGCUAAAUUCCUUUCAAGUACCUGGCUCUCAAUAAUGCUGUGUGAUUUAAUGUUGCUCCUCUUGAUCCAUUCACUUCUAUGUGACAGAAACUUCUAAGGAAGGUCAGUGGUAUAUCUAAGAGAUUAUGACAGCUGAGUUAUGGUUUCAAACAAGUUUGGCUUUUACAUUAGCUUAGAAAAUGAAAUAGCUUUUGAUUUAUAGUCAUCUUACAUUAAUAUGCAUUUCUUUCUUGUAUUUCACUUGAAAUUAGGCAGGCCAGGUUUAUACAUUCCACAUUACUUCUUAAGGUGCCUACUGAAUUACAUAUUUUAAACAAAUCAUUCUGACUCAGCUGACAUCAGGUACAAACAAUGAGAGAGAAUGAGUAUGAGGCUCUGAAUUUCCCUAGCUAUUAAUAGCAACAUUAAAGGCAUGGAGGCCUCUGUAUGAGAGGCAAGUCUAGGUGUAUUUCUCUGUUAAUAAUCUUGUAGCCAACAAAAAUUUUAAAAGGUACCACAUUAGAGAUUCUAUAAUAUCAGUCAUGAGAUUUAUUUUCUAAGUUAUGAUUAAUUUGAAAUAUAAAUUUUCAGAUUUCUGGGUCUUCAUGAAAACAAACCCCAUAUUUCAAUAAAAUGUAGUCUUUCCAUUUCUGGAUGGUCUUAUAAUUUUUCCUUAUUUCCCAAGUUUUUCAUGGUGUACUGGGUAGAAACUUCACAACUCUCUGCACCCUCUUUCACUCUGGAUUAUUUUCAAGGGCACUCUUAACACAGGAUUUGGAGGGAUGAGAAGAGUGUCAACUGAUAGUCUUUCCAUUAUGGUUGACUGCAACUUUUGAGCUUGCAGAGAUAUACUACUAUGGAGUCUCUGAAGUCUAGGUUUUUGUGUGAAAAAAAGAAUGUGCUUUAUAACACAGGGAGACUAACCUACAUUUACUUCACCUCACUCUAUUUACUCUAUAGAAGAUUAUAUCUAAGGUCAUUAAUUCAUUGAUUUAGUUAACAAAUAAAUAUUUGUAAUGUGCCUAUUGUUCUAGGCCAGAAAUUGUCCCAGAAGUUGGGGGAUACAGAAGUGAUUACAACAAUGUCCAUGCCUUCACAGUGCUAGCUUUUUACCACCAAAUUAAGAUGUUAUUAGUAUUAUAUAUGGAAAUAGACUCCAAACACUUAAAUUUCUAUUACCUGGUGAAAUCCCACAAUUUCCUUCUCAUAAAAGGAAGAGAACAUUAGGAGAGAAGGAAUAGUUCUAUGUAUGAAUAAUGGUAGCUGAAAGGAAGGGAAAAUGUCCACAGGCAGCAGUGAUGCUGUAGCACUAGCCUGUGCUUUAUUCAUCAUGAAUGUCCCUUGGUGCAGGGACAUUUUCUUAUAUUUUAGUUCAGAUAGUGACUCAUUUCUCAAAAAACCAGAUGCUUCCUGCAUGCCUAAAAUAUAUUUAUUUGAAUAACAUGGAAUAAAGCAUUUCUUUAUAGUAUUCAGAAUGCUUGGUCUAAAGAAACUAUUUUAAAGACAGAAUUAUGUGGUUUUACAGAGGAAAGAGAAAGGAGACUCUAUAAUAAUAAGAAAAAAAUGACCAGUAAUAAAAUCAGAUCUAUUUUAAAAAUUUCAUGAAGAUAUUCUCACAACCACCUGAAAAUAUUUAAGUGCAACUGAGUUCUUUAUUAAUGAGAAGUUUCAGUUAAUGUUGUAGCAUUAGAAAUGACUUAACUAGAAGCUGUGACCCCCUCUGCAGGAAAAAGAAACUUUCUCUUUGUUAUUGUAGAUUUACACCUGAAUACUCAGCAUUUGUGCUGAUGAUCCUCCCACUAUUCUUGUCUCUUUAGUCAAGCCUUAUUUAAAGAUCAGGUCUAUUCAGGCCUCCGUGCAUUGUUAAUCCAAUCCUGACUGAUCUUCCAGCUCAAUAUGUAUUUCUCUAUGUGUUUCUGUCUUCAUCAUGGUCAUUGAUAUUUAUGAUUACAUUUCAUGUUUCUAUAAACAUUGCUCUGUGCCUGCCAUGUGUUUGAAUUAACAAGCUGUAAGCAAAUGAAUAAGAAAAGCACUUUGCCAUUGAAGAGUUUACAGUUUAGUGCAGUUACUCUUAACUGUAUAUAAGCAUUUGGCUCAAAUAAGGACUUUUGAAAAAACAGAUUCUAAUCCCUCACUUAGUCUGGGUAGAAAGUAUAUCAAGACCUUAAACAAUUUCUCCAUGGACUUUUAUUGCAUCUUUGCAGUUGAUACCCUUGAAAGUGGAAUGUCUGGCCUCAACAACAAGUUUAAAAUAAUGCAAAAAAUAUCACUGUCUGGUUACCACAUAUAGUGGGGUUACAGAUGGGAGAGUGCCUGGCUUUGUGUGGACAGGUCACCUGGCUGAGGAAAGGAUGUUUGAGCUUAAAGAUGAUUGGAAUUAGAUGGUUAGAGCAGGUAGAGAAAGUCAAAGUAUGCAAAAUGCAUAGAGGCAUGAAGUAACUAAUAUUUUAACUUUUCUAGUAUAUAAAAUUUCAAUAGUAGUAUAUGAAUGCAUAUAUCACAUUCUCUUAUAUUAGAAAAUUAUUAGCAUUUGAAAAUGUUAGCCUUUUUAAAAAAAUAAAAUAAAGCAAAACUCAAAGCCAAACCAAGUCAGACCAAACCAACCAAUGACAAACCUUUAGCUUCUGGGAAAUAAGGUGGUUGAUUUCCAUUCAUACAUUUUUUGUUUGUUUGUUUUGUCUUUUGUCUUUUCAGGGUGGCACCCAUAGCAUAUGGAGGUACCCCGGGAAAAGGAGCCUGGGAUUUUAGGAAUUCAUACAAUCUCUGCCUUAUGUGAGCCUACAGAAUAGGAGAAGCUCUGAGCCUGGUGCCUGACCUGGAAUGGCAUGGACCAUGUAGGGACCUGGGCUAACCCCUGGUAGAGGAAUGGGACUCAGUGUGGAGGAGAAACUUGGACCUGUCUGAAUAGAGCUUCAGCAAGCAUGCACAAUAGUCUUGGACUGGCAGCCCCAGCCAGUAGUUUCACAGAAGCAGCACAAACUACUGGAUAGGGUUGGGGAGGAGUGAUAUGUGCCUAGGCUGCUUACCGUACAACUACAGGGACACCAUGUAAGAUCAUUCUCAAGGGACAACUCUUAUCCAACCUCUGCUUAAAAGACCCAGACAGAGCCCUGUGGAAGGAUGAGUAUGACCAGGCCUCCCCUGUGGCCUCUCUGGGGCCAUCCAAAUCCCUUGGGCUACAUAGAAGGAUAGGAUAUGGAUUCCAACAUCCUGAGUUCAAAUCAUGGCCCCCUCCCUGAUCAGCUCUGUGAAGAAACAAGUUUGUACCUUGGCUCUGAUAUCAAUAAUUAUUCCUUUAGACUUCAUUAUCCUCAAUCAAAAGAAGACUAUUUUACUGUUCAUACUCAUUGACUUCUAUCAUCUUGUGAUAACCAGUCAGGGUCUGAUUAACCUGUGUGUAUAUUAGCAAAUCUCUUGACAUACAUUCCUUUUUCACUAUCUUUGCUAUCUACUUAGUGGAAAUCCUAUAAAUAUUAAUUAUUAUUUAAUUGUCAAUCAUCUGAAAUUCAGAACAAACUCAAGCCAGUAUCAUAAAAAGGCUCCCUAAGAAAAAGAGCAAAGUAACCAGGAUCUCAAGAGACAGCUGUUCACAAUUAUUCCUUUCAAGUGGUAGAAAUACACCGAACAGUUAAAUUGUUAGUUAAGAUAUUUAAAAUAGCAAUAACUAUGUAAAAUAUGACUGAAACUUGAGAACUAGAAGUUCUCUAAUUGCUAUCUCCAAAUACCAUGGAUUAUUAAGAGACAGUUUCUUAGUAUGAGGGUAGUGCUUGAAUUUUAAAAUUCAUGAAUGUUGAGUCUUUUAAAUUUUCAGUUUCAACUAAAGUAUUUCUUCUAUUAAAUCAUAUAAAAUGCAACUGAAGAGGAAGAAAACCCUGGGUUCACAAUCUAAGAGUUUGAAAGAACCUCUUCAGCAUUAUAGGUAGGAAAAGCAAACAUGAAAGAAACUAAUCCAAUAAUUCAGUGGAUCCUCACAUUUCAAUUGGAAAGAACCAAAUUUGACAUCCACACUGUCAUUUUCAGAGGUUUAACAAUAGGCAAGUUAUCCUAUCUUGCUGGGCAUCAGUGUCCCCAUCUCUAUGACUGAAAUGACACAGUGCUUGUACCUGGCAUAUUUUAGGAAUUCAAAAUAAUUGUUUGACAAUAUCAUCCUUUUCACUAAAUUAUAAGGUUGAUAUGAAUUUGAGGUCAAAAUUAUAUGAUUAGGCAAUUUUAAAAUACCCAAACUUUCUGGAAUAUAUAUUUACCUUGGCAUAUUCAUUUUUAAGUGAUUCAUUGUCAUCACUAAAGAGAAAGCCGGAUCAUUCAAAUAAAGAUAAAUCUAAGAAGAGAAUCAAAGUUCUGACUUUAUUACUUUUCUGAACUGGUUUCAUGUAAAGGAAAAGGGACCUUGAAGCACUUUUGCUAAAGUAUUAAUCACAAGAUUUAGGAGUUCCCAUUGCAGCUCAGUGGUUAAUGAACCUGAUUAGCAUCCAUGAGGAUGCAGGUUCGAUCCCUUGCCUCAGUCAGUGGAUUAAGGAUUCGGCAUUGCCAUGAGCUGUGGUGUAGGUCACAGAUGCAGCUUGGAUCCCGCAUUGCUGUGGCUGUGGUGUAGGCCGGUGGCUACGGCUCCAAUUGGA
rnacentral:lncRNA from 1 species